rfam:Thermoplasmatales archaeon E-plasma genomic scaffold AMDT2_EPLS00003, whole genome shotgun sequence.
GGGCUUGUAGUCUAGCGGUUAUGAUGUCGCUCUCACACAGCGGAGGUCGCCGGUUCAAAUCCGGCCAAGCCCA